UGCCAGCGACCGUAGAAUUGGCCACCAGCGUCGACUCCAGAUUCCGCAACUCCUCCGAAUUGACAAAGUCCUCCUCGAGUUUGGUCUACAAAAAGAGAAGCGUUGGCAACGUGUAGAAAACCAUGCCUUACAGGUUUAGUGGAGCCAUGCGGGGCCAGACACCGAUAAAGCAAAUCAACAGCCUGCAAUAACAAAAACAGAAAACAAGUAUCAACCCGACACUCUCUGCAUCUGUCUUUACGCGCGCUAGCCUGUGGUUGUAUCUCGAAUGGGACGAUCGAUCCAUGUUCGUCAGCGGAAUCGUAUACUUGUACAUUUCUUUUGUUUUCUUUUUCGUUUCUACUCCGAUUGCAAAUUACUUUUCACAUAUUUUUCACAAAGAAAUCUACCAAUAUUGGCGACGACAUUUAUCUCUUUUAUCAGACAAUCCAAGUAUUGUGCAUGCGAUAAAUUAAAGACAUUAAAUAUUUCGACAUUUUGUAUCUAUACGUCUUUAAAGCAGUUUGGUCCUUAUUAACUAUUAAAAGUUAGUUUUCCAACCGAAACAUUUGUGGCACGAAAUAUACGCAUUCAGGUGAA